rnacentral:rRNA from 1 species
ACUCCUACGGGAGGCAGCAGUGGGGAAUGUUGCACAAUGGCCGAAAGGCUGACGCAGCGACGCCGCGUGUGGGAGGACGCCUUUCGGGGUGUAAACCACUGUUGCCCGGGACGAACAGCCUUAUUCAUAAGGUCUGACGGUACCGGGUGAGGAAGCACCGGCUAACUCCGUGCCAGCAGCCGCGGUAAUACGGAGGGUGCGAGCGUUGUCCGGAAUCAUUGGGCGUAAAGGGCGCGUAAGUGGCGCGGUAAGCGUGCGGUGAAAGCUCGGGGCUCAACCCCGGGUCGGCCGUGCGAACUACUGGGCUUGAGCACUGUAGAGGCAGGCGGAAUUCC